rnacentral:rRNA from 1 species
GGACUCUAUUGAGGCCCCGUAAUCGGAAUGAGUACACUUUAAAUCCUUUAACAAGGAUCCAUUGGAGGGCAAGUCUGGUGCCAGCAGCCGCGGUAAUUCCAGCUCCAAUAGCGUAUAUUAAAGUUGUUGCGGUUAAAAAGCUCGUAGUUGGUUCUGCGUGCCGCGCUGUCGGUUCGUCGCCUGUCGGUGUUACUGGCAUGUCGCGGCAUGUCCUGUCGGUGGUGAAUGGAAUCCCCGGUACUGCGUCAGUUUACUAUAAGCUGAGGUAUGUGUCGUUCGGACGCCAUUUGCCGAUUUCUCCUACUCCGGUGCUCUUAAACGAGUGUCGAGGUAGGCCGACACGUUCACUUUGAACAAAUUAGAGUGCUUAAAGCAGGCUGAAAUAUCUGCCUGAAUAGUGGUGCAUGGAAUAAUAAAAUAGGACCUCGGUUCUAUUUUAUUGGUUUUAGGAAUAUGAGGUAAUGAUCAAUGUGGACUGGCGGGGGCAUUCGUAUUGCGACGUUAGAGGUGAAAUUCUUGGAUCGUCGCAAGACGCACUAGAGCGAAAGCAUUUGCCAAGUAUGUCUUAAUUGAUCAAGAACGAAAGUUAGAGGUUCGAAGGCGAUCAGAUACCGCCCUAGUUCUAACCAUAAACGAUGCCAGCCAGCGAUCCGC